CCCUUAGAUGUUCUGGGCCGCACGCGCGCUACACUGUUCGACGCAGCGAGUCUUAACCUUGACCGAAAGGUUUGGGUAAUCUUCAGCAAAGUCGAACGUGAUGGGGAUCGAUCAUUGCAAUUAUUGAUCGUGAACGUGGAAUUCCUAGUAAGUGCAAGUCAUCAGCUUGCGCUGAUUACGUCCCUGCCCUUUGUACACACCGCCCGUCGCUACUACCGAUUGAAUGGUUUAGUGAGAUCUCUGGAUUGACGCUGGCUAGGGGGCGACCCUUGGCCGGACUGUUGAGAAACUGCUCAAACUUGAUCAUUUAGAGGAAGUAAAAGUCGUAACA
rnacentral:rRNA from 1 species